ensembl:lncRNA
GGAGAGUUAACAGGAGAAGACGUUAUGUCCCCUACUAACCAUCAGCUCCCUGUUAGACAUCAUUACUGCGAUUACUCACCACGGAUUGGCAGAAUCCUGCUUGUAAAAAGACACACGCGCAAGAUCAAACUACCAACGGGACAUCCAAAACUGUAAUAUCUUAUGCUUCACGGAGUUGUGGCUGAACGACGACACUAUCAACACACAGCUGGCUGGUUAGAACAACGGCAUCUGACAAGGGGCGGCUGACUAUAUAUUUUUGUAAAUAACAGCUGGUGCACGAUAUCUAAUGAUAAGCUGUAGACCACACCAUCUACCUAGAGAGUUUUCAUCUGUAUUUUUCGUAGCUCUUUACAUACCACCACAGUCAGAGGCUGGCACUAAGACUGCAUUGAAUAAACUGUAUUCCGCCAUAAGCAAACCUGAAAACACUCACCCAGCGGUGACGCUCCUAGUAGCCGGGGACUUUAAUGCAGGGAAACUUAAAUCCGUUUUACCAAAUUUCUAUCAGCAUGUUAAAUGUGCAACCAGAGGGAAAACAUCUCUGGACCACCUUUACUCCAGACACAGAGACACAUACAAAGGAUUCACUCGCCCCCCAUUUGGCAAAUCUGACCAUAAUUCUAUCUUCCUGAUUCCUCCUUGCAAGCAAAAAUUAAAGCAGGAAGCACCAGUGACUAGAUCAAAAACUGGAAUAUGUGGAAUAUGGAUUCCUCCGAUGGCAUUGAGGAGUACACCACAUCAGUCAUUGGCUUCAUCAAUAAGUGCAUCGAUGACGUCGUCCUUACAGUGACUGUACGGCCACCAACAAACUAACAUGGUCCAAGCACACCAAGACAGUCAUGAAGAGGGCACGACAAAUCCUAUUCCCCCGCAGGAGACUGAAAAUAUUUGGCAUGGGUCCUCAGAUCCUCAAAAGGUUCUACAGCUGUACCAUCGAGAGCAUCCUGACUGGUUGCAUCACAGCAACCGGCCUCCGAUCCCAAGGCACUACAGAGGGUAGUGCGAACGGCCCAGUACAUAACUGGGGCCAAGCUUCCUGCCAUCCAGGAACCCUAUACCAGGCGGUGUCAGAGGAAGGCCCUAAAAAUUGUCAAAGACUCCAGCCACCCUAGUCAUAGACUGUUCUCUCUGCUACCGCACGGCAAGCGGUACCGGAGCGCCAAGUCUAGGUCCAAGAGGCUUCUAAACAGCUUCAACCCCCAAGCCCUAAGACUCCUGAACACCUAAUCAAAUGGCUACGCAGACUAUUUGCAUUGUCCCCCCCUCCCCCUCUUUCACCCUGCUGUUACUCUCUGUUGUUAUCAUCUAUGCAUAGUCACUUUAAUAACUCUACCUACAUGUACAUAUUACCUCAACUAACCAGUGCUCUCCUGUAUAUAGUCUCCCUAUUGUUAUUUUACUGCUGCUCUUUAAUUACUUGUUACUUUUAUUUCUUAUACCUAGCCAUACUUUUUUAACUGCAUUUUUGGUUAGGGGCUCGUAAGUAAGCAUUUCACUGUAAUGCAAACCACUGCAUUUCACCUGUUGUAUUCGG